CAGUCAUUGAUCGAGUUUUCAAUCUUCCAGCUCUCUUCCGAAAACAUAACUUAUCUCUGCCACUCAGAUUGGACUUCAUAUUUCAACAGCAUUGGACAAUAUUCGCACGGACUCUGACUCGAUUAAUUUUGGUUCUAGUAUUCAGAGCACACAAGCUAUAUUUGGUUGGCUCUGGUCAAAUGCCAAUCAAUGCGCGGUCCUUACCCAGCUCUAUGGUGGGCCACGCUUAGUUAACAUUUGGCCAUAUUUUUUUUUUUCAGCGGGUUUAAUGCUUUAUAUAAAGACGGUCAGAAACAGCUACAUCGCAUAUAAAUAAUUUACAUUUCGCAUGGUCACGCACAAAUCAUAUGAUGGGGAGCUGCGCAGACAAAAACUGACAAAGCGAGGGCUGACGCCGAGCCAGUCCCCCUUCCGUUUUCCAUGAUUGGGUCUGGGAAUCGGAAGGCUUGGGCUUGGGUUCGGGUCUAGGACUGCAUGAUGCGUACAGAAGUGACAGUUAAACAUGGAAACACACUCAACAUGUUAAUUGAUAUGCAAGGCAUAGAGGGGCGUGGCGUGGCAGCAGGCGUUGGGGUAGACAAUAAAAGUUUUGCUGCCCUUUUUGGGACAAUGAAACUGUUGGUCAUGACAGUGAAAUUCUCUUUCACCGCCAUCGAUGCCGUUUUCCUCCACAUUCAUUUGUGAUCAAUAUGUUCUAAAUAUACCGCCUGAAGCCUGCGAGGCGGAUGUCAUAAACAAAACUGUGUGUGAGAA